GGCUGGUUCUCAGGUGAUGCACCCGGGAUUGGGCUCCCUCCUCUCUGAUUCCGGGGUGCAUCACCCAAGAACUGCU
rfam:Myotis brandtii contig215353, whole genome shotgun sequence.